rnacentral:lncRNA from 1 species
UCAACUGCAUAAGCAACUCUACUGGGGAAAACUGUCGGCUACUCUCUUGGGGACAAACCACUGAGGGAGGACAGAUCAAACAAGUAUAUUCUGCAACGAACCACUCCACUUGGGGAGAAUACACAUAGCAAACUGAUCACAACAGGUAGAUUCUGCAAUACAAGCCACUCUACUGGGGAUCACAAACAGUCAGGAAAUCAAAUCCGUUCACUGGAGGCAAAGCCAUCAUCCAACCAUAUCGGGGAUUGAAGGAGUAUUCAACAGGCAAAACCGCC